GUGUCAGCCGCCGCGGUAAGACGAACCGUGCGAACGUUGUUCGGAAUCACUGGGCUUAAAGGGCGCGUAGGCGGGUUCCCAAGUUCGGGGUGAAAUCUUCCGGCUUAACCGGAAAAUAGCCCUGGAUACUGGGAGUCUCGAGGGGGGUAGGGGCAGCUGGAACUUCCGGUGGAGCGGUGAAAUGCGUUGAUAUCGGAAGGAACGCCGGUGGCGAAAGCGAGCUGCUGGACCUCUACUGACGCUGAGGCGCGAAAGCCAGGGGAGCAAACGGGAUUAGAUACCCCAGUAGUCC
rnacentral:rRNA from 1 species